rnacentral:lncRNA from 1 species
GUCGCAAAGAGUCGGACACAACUGAGUGACUGAACUGAACUGAACUUAGGGAAGUCCUUGUUUUUCUCUUUGAUAGGAGUUCUUUUAUGUUCAGAAUACUAAUUUUUUGCUUAUCACAUAUCGCAAAUGUCUUUUCCCACUUUGUGGUUUGUGUUUUUCAUUCUCUUAUGGUUUCUUUGUUAAUGAAAGUUAAACCUGUUAAUUUAGUAGAAUUUCUCAGGGUUUGUGUUUUAUAGUUUAUGUCUUGUUUAAGAAAUCCUUUUCUACCUCAAGGAUAUAAAGAUAUUCUUACAUGUUGUCUUAGGAAAUUUAAUGUUACAUUUCAUAAUUCGUUCUUGAGUUGAUUCUUUUUUCCCUUUUGUGCUGCUGCUGUAUUUUCUCCAAAAUUCUACUGCUUUUCAUUUCAGUUUUUUUUUAAGUAGUAAAAUAUGUCAAUUAAGUAGAUACUUUUGAAAUACAUAUUUGAGUUAUUAGUAUUAUGUGCUGUUCACACCUUGCUUUUAGAGUCAUAGGUAAAUAUUAUGUAAGAACAUUAAGUUAUUGAUGGUUGUCUAGUAAACUUUGAAGUCUUCACUCUCCCCCAACCCCCGUAUGAAGUUAAAGAUUUGUAAACAUUUCAGUGGUGCCAUUGUUUGCCUGUGGUUUUCUGCAGUUAUUAAGGACAUUUGUUGUGAAGUAGUCUGGUUAGUUAUUUUCCUAAAAUUGGAGCUGUCUGUGCUUGAUGUUUUAUGGUUUUAUUGUAGUGCCCUGUGAGUGUAGACCUAUUUCGGAGUAUACAUACAGUCUGAGGAACCAGAUCUUUCUUCAGUUUUGGAACAUUCUCAGCUCUUUAAAUGUAUUAAUAGCUCCUAUUAUUUUCAAGUUUCUUCUCUUUUGGUUGACCUGUGUUGGAGUCUGUUAGUUUAUCCGCUGUGUAUUUCAAUUGUUCUUUCAGUUUUUUUCCUCUUUAUUUUUCUAUGCCUAAUCCUAGGGCAGCAAUUUAUGUUUUUCUUCUGCUUCUGUCUGGUCUAGAGUUUAUUCUGUCUAUUGAGCCUACAUGGCAGUAUUUACAAUUUUCAUUUCUUAGAUUUGGAGUUGCUUUUUCAUAUACACCUGCCUGUUUCAUUUGUCUCAGUUUUUGUUUUAUAACCUUUUUGCUAUUUUGUAAAAAGAUUCCUUUAUCACUCUGACAGCUUCAACAUGAUCAAAUUUAAAAAUCUUUGUCAGACUAAUACCAUCUGGUGUGAAUUCAUGUUUUUCCUCCCCACAUUAUUAAAUUUCUUCCUGUGUUUUGGUUUAUUUAUUUAUUGAGUACAUUUUGAGUGGAGUUUUUUUUUUUUUAAACCUUUUUUCCAUUAGUGACGAUUUCCAUCCCCCACCUCAAAAUUAUUAUUUUUUUAACUGUUUUUACCUGUCUCACUCUUCAUCUAGUUGCAAGCUAGGUUUGUUCUGAAACAGUUAAAAAGAGAAAGCAAGGUGGAUAGAAGUGUUUCCAAGAUGAAAACAUAUACUGAGAAAGAGGGAGGUAAGUGUGUGUGUGUGUGUGUGUGUAGAGAUCUCAUGUU